CCGACCCUCGACAUAGCUAGGGGGCUAUGGAAAGCGUCUAUUCCUCUAAAGAUCAAAGUGUUCCUUUGGCAAUUAUUCCGUGACCGCCUACCUUCGUCUAACAACAUUGCCAUUCGACACGGCCCUUCGGAUGGGUCAUGUGCGCUAUGUGGAGCGCACGAAGAUGCGAACCACAUCUUCUUUCAAUGUCACCUAGCACGGUUUGCUUGGAUUGCCGUCUGUGAGGCUUUUGCGCAUAACUGGAAUCCCCAAACGGCUGCGGACCUACGUGGGAUACUUCUCGCUCAUAGAGGUAGUUUCGGGCGCGUGCUGUGGCGAUGCGUAGGGGCGCUGUGCUGGUCAUUGUGGACCACCCGUAAUAAGAUGACUAUCGAACACAAGUUUCCUGCUCAUCCUGCUGAUAUUAUUUUCAAAUGCCACUUGUUUCUCCAGACAUGA
rnacentral:rRNA from 1 species